rnacentral:tRNA from 1 species
GGAGAGGUGCCGGAGAGGUCGAACGGGCCCGACUCGAAAUCGGGUGAACUGGCUCAAACUGGUUCCGUGGGUUCGAAUCCCACCCUCUCCGCCA